rnacentral:misc_RNA from 1 species
AAUGUCAACACACUCUGAUUGUAAAAAACGUCAAAGCUGCAUUUCGCUUCCCUUGCAACUUGGUGUACGCGAGUGGGUUUUGCCGCCGCCUGUGCAAAUAUCGCAAAUUGCAAUAUGUCGAGAGUGUAUUUAUUGCCAGUAACUGUGUUCUUGCUGUUCCAAAUAACAUUCAUUUGCACAUAUAUUGCGGCUAUUUUAGAAGGACACGUCGUUCCAGCUGUACCCUACAUUAGCGAUGCUGCCACAUAUUCUCCAGAAAGUUGUGUAUUUGGACAACUCAUCAAUUUGGGAAGCGUUUUAUUGGGUCUCACAAUCUAUGUCCGAUAUCGUCAAGUCCUAGAACUGUUCGGCUACCAUCCAGAUUUGGGGGAACAACUACUCAAAUUGAAUAAAAUAUCCGUUUGGUUCGGCAUAGCUUCGUGUGUUGGCAUUAGUUUUGUGGCAAACUUCCAGGAAACAAAUGUUCGGAUUGUGCACUUUUUCGGGGCAUUUUGUUGCUUUGGUUUUGGCACCUUAUAUUUUUGGAUGCAGUCCCUAAUAUCGUACAUAUUACAACCAAUAGCCGGAACGAAGUUGAAGGCGCAUUUAAGGAUAGCCAUGUCUGUUGCAUGUACGGUUUUGUUUGUUCUCUUAGCUGUUACUGGAGUAAUAUCUCAUAUUCUCUUCAAAGGAACAGAUCCUCGCAAAUGGUACCCAUCGGAUGGUGGUUGGCACUACCACGUUGCGAGCUCAAUAUCAGAAUGGAUUGUCGCAACAAUUUUCAGUUUCUACAUUUUGUCCUUCACUGAUGAAUUUCGUGAUGUUCAUUUGGGUCAUCCGCAAAUGACCCUUUUACCUUAUAGUAUUACGAUUUAAAUCUGAUUUGUCAUCAUUCGUGGAAUUUUUAUAUUUACUGUGAUAUUCUCUUAGAAGCUUUUAAAGAAAGCAUCCUCGCUCUCUGAGAUAGGGAAAAUGAAUUCAGUGGUCCAUUUAAGUUGACGCGUACAUAAGAAAAUAUAAAAGUUUUCUCUAAAGACAGUUUAUGCAACGAAAUGUGUUUAAUUUAGCUUUCGGAAAGUUAUCCUUCACACUUAAUAUUUUGAAAUCUGAAAGAUAUUUUAUUUAUAGUUUAUUGAGAACUUUGAAAUAAAGUGUACAGUUUAUUAUUAUU